rnacentral:lncRNA from 1 species
UGGUGGGGGCAGGGGAGCAGGAGUGAUCUGAGAAGUUUGCUAAAUCCAGCGAAUGGCCUGGUUCCCCUCCCCCAUCCCCGGUCUGCAGAUUCUGCCUAAGGAGGUGCGAAUCCCUUCCCCUUUCCCCAUUCCCCAUUCCCCAGUCCAACACCCCCUCCCCACCCAGAGGUCCACGAGGCGAGACAGACCCAAAGAGAGAGGCAAGGACGUGGGCGUUGGUCGGUCUUGCGGGGAGGAGGUGCCGUGCUCUCCCCACUUCCUGACCCAGCAGAAAGCGCCCGGGCGUGUCCAGAUAAACCGCGCCUUAAUCGAGGCGCCAUUCCGGCCCGGAACAGGCCAGGCCCAGGGUGCAGAGUGGACACUCCCAGGUGUCCAAGCCGGCGAGCUCGGGUCCCGCAGAACCGGCGGCCCUGGAGACGCCCCGAGGGCAGCCCCGCUGCAGCCUUGCUCGGGUCCCCUAGCCCGGCGCCUCCGCAAACCAACCCACCGCGGGCCGCCGAGCCCCGCUCCGGGAUCCGCCGGCUGCCUCCAUCCCAGAAGAGUGCGCAGAGAAUUAAAUCUAGAUAUUUACAUGUUUAA